UAAGUUUUAUUCUUAUUUUAGUGCUUUGUUAAUUUAUUUUAUUUAAAUUAAUUUAUAUAGAAGGGGUAAAAGAAAUGUUUGAUUUCAGCUUAAUUUUUUACGUUAUUAUUAAAAUUGUAUGAAAGCUAAGGCGUGAUAUAAAUAAUUUAAUUAAAUAUUAAAUUAGUUAAAAAGUAAAGGUAAAUUAUGAAACUUUAUAGUCUCAGCAUAAAAUAUUAUAAGCAAUAUAUUAAAGUAUGAUAUAGUAGUAAUAAUCUAAGUCUGAUUAAUAUUUGUGCCAGCAUUCGCGGUUAUACUUUAAGAUUAAGUAAAAAUUCAAGGUUAUAGUUAAAUAGGUAAUUAAUAAAAUAUAUAAGUAAUAAAGGGUAAAAUCGGAAUAUUAUUUUGUAUAAAAAAAAAAUUCUAAUUGAAGCUAAAAAAGUUUAGUAAUAAACUAGGAUUAGAUACCCUAUUAUUCUAAAAUAAAAUAAUCUAGACCAAAUUAGUAAGAGAUAAAUACUUAAAAUUUAAAAAAUUUGGCGGCAAUUUAAUCUUUUCAGAGGAACCUGUUUUGUAAUCGAUAAACCACGAAAAAUCUUACUUGUUCUUGUAAAUAAAACAGUUUGUAUACCAUCAUUAUCAGAUAAUUCUUAGAGGAGAAAUUAUUAAAUUUGGUUGUUUAGUUAAAUUAAAUCAU
rnacentral:rRNA from 1 species